rnacentral:rRNA from 1 species
GAUGAACGCUGGCGGCGUGCCUAAUACAUGCAAGUCGAGCGAACAGACGAGGAGCUUGCUCCUCUGACGUUAGCGUCGGACGGGUGAGUAACACGUGGAUAACCUACCUAUAAGACUGGGAUAACUUUGGGAAACCGGAGCUAAUACCGGAUAAUAUAUUGAACCGCAUGGUUCAAUAGUGAAAGACGGUUUUGCUGUCACUUAUAUAUGGUUCCGCGCCGCAUUAGCUAGUUGGUAAGGUAACGGCUUACCAAGGCAACGAUGCGUAGCCGACCUGAGAGGGUGAUCGGCCACACGGGAACUGAGACACGGUCCAGACUCCUACGAGAGGCAGCAGUAGAGAAUCUUCCGCAUUAGGCGAAAGCUUGACGGAGCAACGCCGCGUGAGUGAUGAAGGUCUUCAGGUCGUAAAACUCUGUUAUUGGGGAAGAACAAAUGUGUAAGUAACUAUACACGUCUUGACGGUACCUAAUCAAAAAGCCACGGCUAACUACGUG